GGCGAAACACGCGUUGGAAUGUUCAGUGUGUUUGGUGUUUAGAGAUAAAGGACGAUGCUGCAGCUUGACAUAAUACGAUACAUUUUGCCACCACACACUUUUUUGAUUUGAUUUUACUUUAUUUAAGUUAUAUAUAUAUUUUUUUCCCCCCUUUGGCUAUUGGAGUUUGUGAUCAGCUUAUUUCCCUCUCAACUUGUUUAUGAUUUUGUCAGCUUAUAAUUAGGGGAGAUGGGUGGUUAGCUUUUAAGGGGUGCCCUCGAAGGCACAGUAGUUAUAGUUUUCAGCUUUUUACUCUACGUUUUGUUUUUCGACCUUAUAUCACUUACCUGAUAGCGCCUACUACAUGAGGGUUAUUAUUGUGUAUCUUAUAUGAUGUUUAGCUCACAUCCCCCCUACACCUUGGGAGACAUUGUUUCACUUCCUUUACCCCGACAGAAAGCCACAGUAGUCUCUGGACUGUUAAUUUGUUUUCUUUUGGUUUAUUUUUGCUUGGAGCAUUACAGCUUCUUGAUUCAUCUACCUAGUCGAUGAGACAGUUACACAUAUUUUUCUUUAUAUACACACACGUUUCAUUUGGACCAAAUAUUUUUGGACAUUGUAGUCAGGACACUUACCUUUGAUAGCGAUUAUUACACAAUCUAGUCCUGAAUGUAAAGGGAUCAGUUUUUUACUAGACUUUAAUAAAAAAGUUAACUUUUACUUUAUGGGUUACUCUUUUUUUUUUAAAAACUUUUUUUCACCCUUUUCACCCUUUUUUCUUGUG